GAUGAUAUAAAAGAAAAUCUAACCAAGAUUAACUUAUCAACUUAAAUUAACUUAUACAUAAUGCGAUAGUAAAAAUCGACUGUGUCCUCUUCAGAGAUUAUUAAUAUACCUACGUUGUGGUAUUACGAUUUAUUGACUUUUGGAACUGAAGAAGAGGAGUAGGAAUAUCAGGUAUUAAUGUAGUGAGUAAUAUUUUUAAGUGCACAUUUAUCAAAUAAAUAAUUUACCUUAUUUUUUAUUUAAAAUUAUUCUGUAUAUUUUAUAUAAUAGUAGGCUCCAAAGUUGUUAUCAGUUAAAUCAACUAUAGAAACACAUAAAAUAUAAGCAAAUAAAAAAAAACAAAUAAGAAAUAAUUCCUACAUUAUUUCAAGUAUCUACAACAUACCUGCUUGUAUAUGAAUCAAUUAUUAGUUUUACAUUAUUUUUAACACAUUUGCAAUGUCUACAAGUCUCUAUAGUGUAUAGGCACAUGUUUAGAUAUUAAAGAUUAAUUUGUUUUCAUAUUUUAAUAGGGAAAUACCAAUAAAUGUACAUUACAAGAAUCUACAAGUGUUGGCAUUGAUAGUUGUAAUAAAGUAUCAACUGACAUGUUUGAAAUGGAAAAAUUCAUAAAAGUGAAUGACGAAGAAGAAAAAAGUAAAUAUCAUUGUGGCAAUUAUCUUUUGAGUACGUAUUUUUCUCUCUUUUGUCUAAUCUCACCCCCUAAAUUUAUCCACACGCAAAAGAAAAAUAAGGUACAACAAAUUUUGGUUCAGGAUAUUUAUGUUAACUCAACUUGAAUUUAAAAUUUGAAUACAAUCUCAUAAUAAGAGUACGGAUGU
rnacentral:lncRNA from 1 species